rnacentral:lncRNA from 1 species
GUGAAUGAAGCCGAGUAAGCUGCCUCCACUCUGAGGGCCUCUCAGCGAGCACGGAACUCACCAAGUUCAUUAUGCUAGCUGCCUGGUGAGCCCCGGAGAUCCACCUUCCCAGCACAAGAUCACGAACAUGUACCACCACAAUCUGUCUCCCCCCACAAAUUCUGGGGAUUAGACUCAGGUCCUCAGGUUUGUGCAGCAAGCACAUUUACCAACAGAGCCUCCUCUGCAACCCAUGUGCCGUGGAUGACUUGUUGACCAUGAUACUUCACAAAACUGCAAGAGUUCCUACCACAAGGCUGGCAUGAAUGUCGGGACCACUAGGCCUGCAGAAAGGCUUCAUGGCUAUGCAUCACAUCGGACUUUCUCAGCACAGCCAGAUCCAGGGCUUCCUAAGAGAUGAGGAACGCAUUCCAUCUGGGACAGGAAGGUGAAGGCUAUGUGGAAACUGGUUCCUGUGACAGCUGUUAUUCCUGGGCUCUCUCAACCUUUGCAUUCCAGGAGCCUCCAGGACUGAUCUGGGUUUUCCCGUGAGCGAUACCAGCAGUCCAGUUCAAAAGUGUCACCAAACACGAAUCAGCAGCAGCAGUGGCAGGAUCCAGCAGAAACUGCCAGGCCUCCACCUAAACAGCAAGAGACAACGGGAUUGACCAGGACCAACUGGAAUGCCAGGAGUUCUCUGCCGUGCCUCUCUCCACGACAUGAAGAUCAGUGAAGAUGAGAGACCAAUGAAGAGUUGUACAGCUGGCUCUGCAGGUGCCUUGUCACUGUCUGUUGAGUCCUAUUUAUAUUCUCUCCAAACGU